GCUAGCUAAGGAGGCCACGAUGGUGGUAGAGCAUUCUGCGCGUCCUCAUUUUCUACGCGUCCUCACUACUAUUCCCAGAUCCAGACUGGCAGCGGCUGCGGUGGCCAAUGAAGCACCAGCGGCGGAUCCUUGCGAGAAGGCUGAUAGGCUCGUGAAUGGCAUACAGAGAUGAUGCAGUCCAUGGCUGCGGUGCUAGUAUGAAGCAUCGGUGGCGGUUGGUGGCGUGUAGUUCACGGCGGCGGCGCUAGUGCGAAUCAGUGAUGGUGGUCGGUUCGAUGGAAGAUAGCAAAGGAGCAGCAUGACGCGGCCAAGGAUUUUUUGCAUUUUGUUUGUUGAAUUUAGUGUUCUUAUGCUUGUGUGCAUAAGUUUCUAUACACACAAUGGAGCACUUCUAUGCAUUUUUAUAUUCUUAAUGCUUGUGAGCAUAAGUUUCUAUACAUUGUUGGAGCAGGUCUAUGUUGUCUCUAUGCGACAAUAAAUUCACUUUUUAUUCAUCAAAUUACUAAAUUCUAUGUAAUGCCAGCACGAAAAAUAUUUAAGUGUAUCUUGAUCACUGAAUUUA